GAAAAAUUUUCAUCUCCUCCAUUGUUUCUCUCUCAAAAGACAAGAAGAGGAAGAAAAGAUGAGCAGAUCAGGUCAGCCUCCAGAUCUCAAAAAGUAUAUGGACAAGCAGCUUCAAAUCAAGUUGAAUGCCAACCGCCAAGUUGUAGGGACUCUUCGUGGGUUCGAUCAGUUCAUGAAUUUGGUUAUCGACAAUACUGUUGAGGUCAAUGGAAACGAUAAGAAUGAGAUUGGCAUGGUGGUAAUUCGGGGUAAUAGCGUGGUGACAAUUGAAGCUCUGGAACCGGUUGCCAGACCACAGUAAUACGAACGAAGCUCUGAUUGUUCAAGGAUCUUUAUCUAUGUUCAAGAUAUUUACUACUCUUAUCGAACCUAAGUGAAAUUAUGUAUUGUACCUGAAUUAAACUAGCUUAUCUUUGAUUUCUCUGUUGAUUCUGAAAAUGAAAAGAUCAUCGAUAUCUCUGUUCAUCUUGAGCUCAUGUUCACAAUUUCAUCUGGUGAGUUUUGUAUACAAUGACAAUGUCGGGACAUGAGUGAU
rnacentral:misc_RNA from 1 species